ACUACAUAGAAUCAGUGAAAAAUGUAUGACCUCCGACGACCAUUCGACAAACUCAUCCUGCUGCUCCGUCGCGUUCGUGCUUCUCCCUCAAUGAAGGUUGUGACUUCUCCUCUCAAAGAUUUGUGAUCUCUGACGAAAAUUCGAGCCCCUCAUCUGCAUCUACUCUGACUCGUCCCUGCUUCUGUCUCAAUGAAUGUCUCGAUUUGCUUAAUCUCGAAGAUUUGUGACCUCCGACGACCAUUCCAGCCACUCAACCGUAUCUGCUCCACCUCAUCCCUACUUCUCCCUCAACGAAUGUCGCGAUUUGCUUAAUCUCGAAGCUACUCAAUCGCAUCUACUCCACCUCGUCCCUACUUCUCCCUCAACGUAGGUUGCUGUUUGCUUAGUCUCGAAGAGGACAUGGCAUCGGAAAGCCAAUCCUAGUCAAAGAGAGGACAAAAUUGUUCAUGGCCAAAUGAGGUAUCACAAUUUCUGCUUCAAUGUUUAUUAGAUUACCAUCAAAAAGGAAAAAAGGGUGAUAAUGGCCUUAGUAAAGAUCAGUGGCAAUCUAUUGUCAAAUGCAUACAAGAUAGAAUUGAUAUGACCUAUAAUUGGGAACAAGUCCACCAUCAUUAUCGAAUAUGGAAACAAAGGUUAAGAGCGUUGAGUGACCUCGAAAAGAAUUGUCCCAUGAGCUGGAUUCAAUAGAGAUGCGCUUUGAUGCCCCUCAGCAUGUUUGGAAUGAGU